rnacentral:rRNA from 1 species
UACGGGGGGAGCAAGCGUUGUUCGGAUUUACUGGGCGUAAAGGGCUCGUAGGCGGCCAACUAAGUCAGACGUGAAAUCCCUCGGCUUAACCGGGGAACUGCGUCUGAAACUGGAUGGCUUGAGAUUGGGAGAGGGAUGCGGAAUUCCAGGUGUAGCGGUGAAAUGCGUAGAUAUCUGGAGGAACACCGGUGGCGAAGGCGGCAUCCUGGACCAACACUGACGCUGAGUGAGCGAAAGCCAGGGGAGCAAACGGG